GAUGAACGCUGGCGGCGUGCCUAAUACAUGCAAGUCGAGCGAACAGAUGAGGAGCUUGCGCCUCUGACGUUAGCGGCGGACGGGUGAGUAACACGUGGAUAACCUACCUAUAAGACUGGGAUAACUUCGGGAAACCGGAGCUAAUACCGGAUAAUAUAUUGAACCGCAUGGUUCAAUAGUGAAAGACGGUUUUGCUGGCACUUAUAGAUGGAUCCGCGCCGCAUUAGCUAGUUGGUAAGGUAACGGCUUACCAAGGCAACGAUGCGUAGCCGACCUGAGAGAGUGAUCGGCCACACUGGAACUGAGACACCGUCCAGGCUCCUACGGGAGGCAGCAGUAGGGAAUCUUCCGCAGAGGGCGAAAGCCUGACGGAGCAACGCCGAGUGAGUGAUGAAGGUCUUCGGAUCGUAAAACUCUGUUAUUAGGGAAGAACAAAUGUGUAAGUAACUAUGCACGUCUUGACGGUACCUAAUCAGAAAGCCACGGCUAACUACGUG
rnacentral:rRNA from 1 species